CUCAAAAUCAAUAAUAUAAAAUACAUCCUGCCAAUAACAAAUAUUAGAAGAAUAUCGUGCUAAUUAAAUACUCAUAGUAUAAUUUAUUUUACCUAUAACUGGAUGUAAAAAAUCUCUCUCUAAGUCUGUACAACAUGAUGCUAAUCGAAAAGCAUCACGGGGGCAUAGCUGCGGCAUAUGAUGCACAGCUCGAUCUAUCAUGGCUCGCACCAUCUUCUAAUGGGCCUAGUGUAGCUG
rnacentral:lncRNA from 1 species